GGGGUGAUUAGCUCAGCUGGGAGAGCACCUCCCUUACAAGGAGGGGGUCGGCGGUUCGAUCCCGUCAUCACCNNN
rnacentral:tRNA from 1 species